ACUCCUGCGGGAGGCAGCAGUGGGGAAUUUUGGACAAUGGGCGAAAGCCUGAUCCAGCAAUGCCGCGUGAGUGAAGAAGGCCUUCGGGUUGUAAAGCUCUUUUGUCAGGGAAGAAACGGUGAGAGCUAAUAUCUUUUGCUAAUGACGGUACCUGAAGAAUAAGCACCGGCUAACUACGUGCCAGCAGCCGCGGUAAUACGUAGGGUGCAAGCGUUAAUCGGAAUUACUGGGCGUAAAGCGUGCGCAGGCGGUUUUGUAAGUCUGAUGUGAAAUCCCCGGGCUCAACCUGGGAAUUGCAUUGGAGACUGCAAGGCUAGAAUCUGGCAGAGGGGGGUAGAAUUCCACGUGUAGCAGUGAAAUGCGUAGAUAUGUGGAGGAACACCGAUGGCGAAGGCAGCCCCCUGGGUCAAGAUUGACGCUCAUGCACGAAAGCGUGGGGAGCAAACAGGAUUAGAAACCCCAGUAGUCCCAUGA
rnacentral:rRNA from 1 species